rnacentral:lncRNA from 1 species
CUACCACUUAAAGCCUCCUACCUGAUUGACACUCCAAAGGAUAGAAAAAAUAGAGAAAAAAUCUAGGGAAAACAUAGAAAAAUGAAUGAAAACAAAGAAAAAAUGGAAAAAACUAAAAGCUAAGACAUUUUCCACAUAGAGUGAUUUUUUUUUUUCCUUUUGGGUUCUUUUUCUUUUCAUUUCAUUCUCUUUUUCGAAGAACUAU